UACAGAGGGGGCAAGCGUUAUUCGGAAUUAUUGGGCGUAAAGGGCGCGUAGGCGGCGAUUCAAGUGACGGGUGAAAUCCCUCGGCUUAACCGAGGAACUGCCUGUCAGACUGGAUUGCUUGAGGCCGGGAGAGGCGAGUGGAAUUCCCAGUGUAGCGGUGAAAUGCGCAGAUAUCAGGAGGAACACCGGUGGCGAAGGCAGCUCGCUGGGACGUCACUGACGCUGAGACGCGAAAGCGUGGGAAGCAAACAGG
rnacentral:rRNA from 1 species